UCCAGACCCUUCUUCAGGAAGGUUGCAGCACUCUGAACACCUCCCGCCACAGCACUACACACAGCACCUGGGCUGCCAGGUGCCAGAAUGCUGUCAGUCACGUUAAUUGUGACCCUGUCCAGUUCCAGCUCAAAGAGUCCUUCGUAUUAAUUGCUCAGCUCACACACCGGCUCUGGGGAGAUAAGCGUGAAGCAAGAUAGAGUGAAGGCCUGUGAUAUCCCUUAACAUCCCUGCUGGCAGGAUGCAUUGCUGCUGCUUGCACACUUGGCCUGGAAGUUUCUCCCAUUUUGUUGCUAAGAGGCAAUAAGGACUGAGAGACAGAAGAAGCUGCCCCGGGAGCAGGGCGGCUGGCUACUCCCGGUCUGAGGGUUUCCCUGGAGCACAGAUACCUCGAGAACUGGGCUGGGGAAAGGGG